AGUGAACGCUGGCGGCGUGCUUAACACAUGCAAGUCGAACGAGAACGGAAUAUAGCUUGCUAUAUUUGUCAGCUAAGUGGCGCACGGGUGAGUAAUAUAUAGAUAACCUGCCCUUAAGAAAGGAAUAACAGUUGGAAACGACUGCUAAUGCCCUAUAUGCCUUUAAUACAUAAGUAUGCAAGGGAAACGCUUUAGUGCUUAAGGAUGGGUCUGUAUGGUAUCAGCUUGUUGGUGAGGUAAUGGCUCGCCAAGGCUAUGACGCCUAACUGGUUUGAGAGGAUGAUCAGUCACACUGGAACUGAGACACGGUCCAGACUCCUACGGGAGGCAGCAGUGGGGAAUAUUACACAAUGGACGAAAGUCUGAUGCAGCAACGCCGCGUGGAGGAUGACACAUUUCGGUGCGUAAACUCCUUUUAUAUAGGAAGAUAAUGACGGUACUAUAUGAAUAAGCACCGGCUAACUCCGUGCCAGCCGCCGCAGUAA
rnacentral:rRNA from 1 species